rnacentral:rRNA from 1 species
UGAGGAAUAUUGGUCAAUGGGCGCAAGCCUGAACCAGCCAAGUCGCGUGAAGGAAGACGGUCCUAUGGAUUGUAAACUUCUUUUAUACAAGAGUAACGUUCGGUAUGUAUACCGAUUUGCAAGUAUUGUAUGAAUAAGCAUCGGCUAACUCCGUGCCAGCAGCCGCGGUAAUACGGAGGAUGCGAGCGUUAUCCGGAUUUAUUGGGUUUAAAGGGUGCGCAGGCGGUUUGAUAAGUCAGUGGUGAAAUCUGGAGGCUCAACCUUCAACCUGCCAUUGAAACUGUCGGACUUGAGUGCGGAUGAAGUAGGCGGAACUCGUUGUGUAGCGGUGAAAUGCAUAGAUAUAACGAAGAACUCCAAUUGCGUAGGCAGCUUACUAAACCGUAACUGACGCUCAUGCACGAAAGCGUGGGUAUCAAACA